rnacentral:rRNA from 1 species
AUUGAACGCUGGCGGCAGGCCUAACACAUGCAAGUCGAACGGUAACAGGAAGAAGCUUGCUUCUUUGCUGACGAGUGGCGGACGGGUGAGUAAUGUCUGGGAAACUGCCUGAUGGAGGGGGAUAACUACUGGAAACGGUAGCUAAUACCGCAUAACGUCGCAAGACCAAAAAGGGGGACCUUCGGGCCUCUUGCCAUCGGAUGUGCCCAGAUGGGAUUAGCUAGUAGGUGGGGUAACGGCUCACCUAGGCGACGAUCCCUAGCUGGUCUGAGAGGAUGACCAGCCACACUGGAACUGAGACACGGUCCAGACGCCUACGGGAGGCAGCAGUGGGGAAUAUUGCACAAUGGGGGGAAGCCUGAUGCAGCCAUGCCGAGUGUAUGAAGAAGGCCUUCGGGUUGUGAAGUACUUUCAGCGGGGAGGAAGGGAGUAAAGUAAAGACCUUUGCUCAGUGACGUUACCCGCAGAAGAAGCACCGGCUAACUCCGUG